UACGGAAGGCAGCAGUGGGGAAUCUUGCGCAAUGGGCGAAAGCCUGACGCAGCCAUGCCGCGUGAAUGAUGAAGGUCUUAGGAUUGUAAAAUUCUUUCACCGGGGACGAUAAUGACGGUACCCGGAGAAGAAGCCCCGGCUAACUUCGUGCCAGCAGCCGCGGUAAUACGAAGGGGCUAGCGUUGCUCGGAAUUACUGGGCGUAAAGGGCGCGUAGGCGGAUCGUUAAGUCAGAGGUGAAAUCCCAGGGCUCAACCCUGGAACUGCCUUUGAUACUGGCGAUCUUGAGUAUGAGAGAGGUAUGUGGAACUCCGAGUGUAGAGGUGAAAUUCGUAGAUAUUCGGAAGAACACCAGUGGCGAAGGCGACAUACUGGCUCAUUACUGACGCUGAGGCGCGAAAGCGUGGGGAGCAAACAGGGAUUAGAUACC
rnacentral:rRNA from 1 species